rnacentral:misc_RNA from 1 species
AACGGUCUAUACCUGCGGUACCUGCGGAGGGAUCAUUAGUGAACGCCCUCACGGGCUUAUAACUAUUCCAAACCUCUGUGAACCGUGCCCUUCGGGGCUAUUUUACAAACAUGGUGUAAUGAACGUCAUAUAUCAUAACAAAGCAAAACUUUUAACAAUGGAUCUCU